UGGGGAAUAUUGCACAAUGGGCGAAAGCCUGAUGCAGCAACGCCGCGUGAAGGAAGACGGUUUUCGGAUUGUAAACUUCUGUUCUUAGUGAAGAAUAAUGACGGUAACUAAGGAGCAAGCCACGGCUAACUACGUGCCAGCAGCCGCGGUAAUACGUAGGUGGCAAGCGUUGUCCGGAAUUACUGGGUGUAAAGGGAGCGUAGGCGGGAAAGCCCAAGUCAGCUGUGAAAACUACGGGCUUAACCUGUAGACUGCAGUUGAAACUGGCUUUCUUGAGUGAAGUAGAGGUUGGCGGAAUUCCGAGUGUAGCGGUGAAAUGCGUAGAUAUUCGGAGGAACACCGGUGGCGAAGGCGGCCAACUGGGCUUUAACUGACGCUGAGGCUCGAAAGUGUGGGGAGCAAACAGGAUUAGAUACC
rnacentral:rRNA from 1 species